CUGGGGCCACAGGCGGGCACCAAAAUGCCUGGCUAAUUUUUUUGUUUUUAUUUUGGUAGAGACGAGGUCUCACUUUGUUGCCCAUGCUGUUCUCAAACUUCUCGGCUCAAGUGAUCCUCCCACCUCGGCCUCCCAAAGUGCUGUGUUACAGGCAUAAGCCACUGCACCUGGUCUCUACUUCGUUCUUACUCUUCUUCCCGACUCUGUGAUCAGCUCUUUUUCCUCACUGACAUCUCUUAUCACCAGCAGAGGCCUACCACUAGACACCAGGUCCGUAUUGGAAGCCUUGACUCUGGCCCAGAC
rnacentral:lncRNA from 10 species